CGUAGGUGGCAAGCGUUGUCCGGAUUUAUGGGUUUAAAGGGUGCGUAGGUGGCCCUGUAAGUCAGUGGUGAAAUAUCUCAGCUUAACUGAGAGGGUGCCAUUGAUACUGCGGGGCUUGAGUACAGAUGAGGUAGGCGGAAUUGACGGUGUAGCGGUGAAAUGCAUAGAUAUCGUCAAGAACACCGAUAGCGAAGGCAGCUUACCAAGCUGUAACUGACACUGAGGCACGAAAGUGUGGGGAUCAAACAGGAUUAGAUACCCUGGUAGUCCACACUGUAAACGUUGAUGACUCGAUGCUGGCGAUACACAGCCAGCGUCCAAGAGCAAUCGUUAAGUCAUCCACCUGGGGAGUACGCCGGCAACGGUG
rnacentral:rRNA from 1 species